ACAAUGAAGAGUUUGAUCCUGGCUCAGGAUGAACGCUAGCGGCAGGCUUAACACAUGCAAGUCGAGGGGCAGCGGGGGUAGCAAUACCU
rnacentral:rRNA from 1 species